rnacentral:rRNA from 1 species
AGUCGAGGGGCAGCACGAAUUAGCUUGCUAAUUUGGUGGCGACCGGCGCACGGGUGCGUAACGCGUAUGCAACCUACCUUAUACAGGAGUAUAGCCCGGAGAAAUUCGGAUUAAUCCUCCAUGGUACUGAGACACCGCAUGGUGCUUCAGUUAAAGCUUCGGCGGUAUAAGAUGGGCAUGCGUCCUAUUAGCUAGAUGGUAAGGUAACGGCUUACCAUGGCUACGAUAGGUAGGGGGCCUGAGAGGGUGGUCCCCCACACUGGUACUGAGACACGGACCAGACUCCUACGGGAGGCAGCAGUGAGGAAUAUUGGUCAAUGGGCGCAAGCCUGAACCAGCCAUGCCGCGUGCAGGAAGAAUGCCCUAUGGGUUGUAAACUGCUUUUAUUUGGGAAUAAACCUUUCUACGUGUAGGAAGCUGAAGGUACCAAAUGAAUAAGCACCGGCUAACUCCGUGCCAGCAGCCGCGGUAAUACGGAGGGUGCAAGCGUUAUCCGGAAUCAUUGGGUUUAAAGGGUCCGCAGGCGGAUUUAUAAGUCAGUGGUGAAAGCCUACAGCUUAACUGUAGAACUGCCAUUGAAACUGUAAGUCUUGAAUUCGGUCGAAGUGGGCGGAAUGUGUAGUGUAGCGGUGAAAUGCAUAGAUAUUACACAGAACACCGAUAGCGAAGGCAGCUCACUAGGCCUGGAUUGACGCUCAGGGACGAAAGCGUGGGGAUCAAACAGGAUUAGAUACCCUGGUAGUCCACGCUGUAAACGAUGAUUACUCGUUUUCGGCGAUAUACAGUCGGAGACUAAGCGAAAGUGAUAAGUAAUCCACCUGGGGAGUACGAU